rnacentral:rRNA from 1 species
GAUGAACGCUGGCGGCGUGCUUAGCACAUGCAAGUCGAACGAUGAAGCCCAGCUUGCUGGGUGGAUUAGUGGCGAACGGGUGAGUAACACGUGAGUAACCUGCCCUUGACUCUGGGAUAAGCCUGGGAAACUGGGUCUAAUACUGGAUAUGACUUCUCAUCGCAUGGUGGGGGGUGGAAAGAUUUAUUGGUCUUAGAUGGACUCGCGGCCUAUCAGCUUGUUGGUGAGGUAAUGGCUCACCAAGGCGACGACGGGUAGCCGGCCUGAGAGGGUGACCGGCCACACUGGGACUGAGACACGGCCCAGACUCCUACGGGAGGCAGCAGUGGGGAAUAUUGCACAAUGGGCGCAAGCCUGAUGCAGCGACGCCGCGUGAGGGAUGACGGCCUUCGGGUUGUAAACCUCUUUCAGUAGGGAAGAAGCGAGAGUGACGGUACCUGCAGAAGAAGCGCCGGCUAACUACGUG